UGUAUUGUGGUUUAUAUUUUCUAGAUAAAGUUUAAAACCUUUUAUAACCUGUCCCACUGGGAUAGGUUAAAUUUUUUGUUUCUUAACUUUUAUUUCUUUAACCUCACCCCGGCCAUGGUUAAACACUUAUUCCCUUCUUUAAUCAUUUUCGGGUUUUUCUUAACCAGUUUCUUCUAGGAAUUUACAGGUUAAUCCAUCAUAUUUGUUAAGAAAUUGGGAAGCUAACCAUAUACUAAGAGUGUUAUCAAAAUAAUCUAACAUAUGAACAAACAUAAACUUAUAUAUAACAACAUAAAUAAAGUAACAUAAAAACUGGGGUAAUAUUUAUCAGAAACAUAAUUUAAAUAAAGAUGAGUAACUUACAUUUAUAGGAGAGAGAUUUCCCUUUCGGGAAACCCGAAAGACGUUACUGAACUUUUAGAAAUAACAGACGAUCACACAUAUACCUAAGCCUUUAUUUAUUUUACAAGCUUAAAGGAGUAGGAACUACUACAAUAUUCAUAGGGAUAUAUUUUACAAAGUGAUUUUUGGAGGAGGAUUGGUGAUGAAAGGUUGGUUUGAUAUGGUUUGAUGAGUUUUUCUUCAUAAUUUUUUCUUAUAAUUUUACUAGGGUAUUUAGAUACUAUAUAAUAUUCAGAACAAUAUGAGUUUAGAUAGAAUCUCAACAUGAUUCUAGUAUUAGCGAAUACCCUAGGGUAUUUACUAGGGUAUUGUUUCUUCAGAACAAUAUGAGUUUGGCGCCGUUUUAUAAGAUGAGUUGGAGGAGGGUUGGUACCAGUACAAUAUGAGUUUAAUCUGAAUAUUUCUAGUGUACCAGUAUAUAACCUAGUAUAUAACCUAGCUCUGAACAAUAUAACCUUUUUUGUUUCUUCAGAAGGUUGGAGGAGGGUUGGUGAUAAAAUAUUGACCUAGAGCAUUAAGUGUCCCACUGGGAAAAGAUAGGUUAAAUUCUUAACUUUAACCUGGGAUAGGUUAAAGUCCCACUGGGAUAGGUUAAAGGUAGAUAUAUUACAAAGUGAAUAUUAGCGAAAAUUAAUUUUUCUAGUUAUUCUUUAUAGAAUAAAGCCUUUGUAUCUGAAAAGCCUUUGUAUUAGGAAAAUAUUUUAAGCAUAGUCUACUAUAUAUAUAUAGUUCUUUAGCAUGAAGCCAAGAAUAAUAUGUCUACUAUAUAUAUAUAUAUAGUAGACAUAUUAUUCUUGGCUUUUGGUUUACAUGUAUCAUUCAAGAGGAAAUGCUCGAAUGAUAUAUCUAUCUCUCUCUAUAUAUCUAUCUAUAUCUAUCUAUAUAUAUAUGUUCUAUUAUAUUGGUGGCUCUGUUUGUCGAAUUAAACGUCAACUACUAUUAUUCAUAAUCUUUGGCUCUUUUUUUUUUUUUUUUUUUUUUUUUUUUUUUUGCUAACUAUAAAUAGCAUUAGUUAUAUACUCUAUUACUAUUCACUAAGUUUUUGAACAUGUUCGACAAUAUAUUUUCUCUAAUCUGCAGAAAUUUGAUACAUAACACACAUGUACUCUCCUUUUUAGCAUUAUAUUCUUCUUUUUCAAGGGAUAAUAAUAUAUCAGUUCAUUGGUAGCUUUAUAUAUGAUGUAUAAUUUUAGUACUAUAACUUGGAAACAAAACAACUUCGUAAAGAAUUUACUGAAACUUGAAUGUAAUUAUUGUUGUGGUAAGUUUUGUUUUUCAUAAAUGAGUUUGGAGUUCUUACACUUUUAUGUUUCAAUGGACUUAUCUUUUUGCCGUGUAUCUAAUGAAGAUUAAGAAAAAGACUUUCUAUAUAGAUCAGUGUUUAUAUAAUAUGUGCUUUAAAUCUCCAGAUAGCAUAUCCUUUUUGUUUUUGUUUUGAGUUCAAAAUAUUAUGGUAUAGCUUCCUGAACUUACCAUUGUUUGGUUAUAUGCCAGAAAUUAAUAUUGCUAGUUGCUAGAAAUCAAGGUCAUGCUAGGAUUUGGGCAAACUGAUACCUUCUUCUUCUUUUUUGGUCUUUUCGUCUGAACAACUUGCUCCAUAAUCAUUUUAUUAAUGUAAACUGAUGCGUGCUCUUGAAUCAUAAUUAUUUGCAUAAUCCUUUAUUCUUGUUGUGCUAAUUCUGAUAGUUCCCCCUGUAGAGGACUCUUUUUCUUGAUGAUGUUUAUUUUCUAGUUUCUAAUGUUAUGUUUUCUGUUUCAUUUACUGCCUUCUUGUUGGGUAUGCAACUCUGUCAACGUUUCACUUUUGAUUGUUGGUAGUUCAAUAUUUAGACCAUGACGUUUCGAAUCAAACAGUAAAUUAUAUUGAAAAAUAGAGCUUCUUGUUAAUUUCUUCAGGUACUAACAAGAAGCCUCCUCCUGAGAGGUGUUCCAAUCAACUUAUCUCUAUUUCUCAAUAUAGCAGUUUAAUUGUUUCUGGGAUGAAUUGGUCAACGGGGUGAUGGGCCAUAGUGUAAGACUAUAAGUUGUAGGACUAUGUUGUUUGUAGAAAUUCACCAGCAUCUUGCAACAAAAAGGGAAGCUGUAGAUCAUCUAUGGUGAAGCAAAUGAACAAGAGUAGGUGAAUGCGGUGAAGACCUUACUGAAGAGUAUUGGUUGAUCACUGAUAGACUUUAAGAUGUUCUAGAAUCUUGUAUUUUAAACUAUUUUGCAAUCUUAUGUGUUAACUCUUGAAUUGUCAAACAAUAUUAUGUAUUUUGCCUUUAUAUAUGAAUAAUAAUAGUUGAAUAUGUUGGAUUCCAA